rnacentral:ribozyme from 1 species
AAACAAUCAGAAUACAAAUCAGCAGAAGGAACAAGAGAAGAAGAAAAAGAAAUAGAAGGAGUUGAAAAUAGCUUUUCGUUCCCUUUUUAUUCUUGGUUUGUUUAUUUUCUCCUUUUUUUAUGGUAUUAUUGUGAUAGUUGUUAGUCGUCGUGGUAGUAGUUGUUGAAGUGAGUUUAGUUAAGGUAUAUGGAGAUGCGAGUAAAAGUUAUCUUCAUCACCACAUUUCAUCUAUUUCAAGUUAUUCUAUAAGA